AAAUUAAAUAAUUCAUGUUUUAAUUUCCAAUCAAUGUCCUGUUAUUAAAACCUUCAUUAUGAAUUUUAUUUUAUUAAAACCUACAUUAUCUUUUUUUUUUUUUACUACAAAUGCACUACUGUGCCUAUUAACUAGAUAUGAAUCAUCCCAAUUUUUGAAACACUACAAGGAUGCCACAUUGAGGUGAGGGACUGCAACAGCAGGUGGAUUUUAAAUUAAUCAACAAGCAGAACUUUUAAUGCAAAGCUGAUGAUUUGAAACUUUUUUUAACUGCCUGUUUGAAUAGAGGUUGCUGAAUCUACAAAGAGACAAGUGGUGGAAUUUAAAGUCACCUCAGAUGGUGAUCUGAAUAUGAUGAAGGAAAACAUCCUGAAGAUGAUUGGUGACAAUCUGAGAGCUCAAGGAAACAAUUAUUCCAAUCUGAGCUGGAGAGAGAGUAACGGACAAGUCUUCACUGCUGAGAAGAACGAGACCGCUGUAAAGCUUCCAGAAAGCUGUGAAGUUACACCACUGGUUAUUGAUAAUUCCACUCAAACUUAAUCUUUUUAAACGUCCUAAAUGUUCACUAAGCAGUUUGCAAAAGGAAAGAGUGCAUAUCUCUGUUAUCUAUAAUGUAACAUUAUUUGCAUGUCAUCUAUACAUGUGUAAUUAGGAGUAGAUUGUAAAAUGCUACUGUAUUUUACUGUGUGCUACAUUAUUUCUGCUGUAGAAUGACAACAUUUGGGUUAGAUAUUAAAAGAUGAAUAUGAG
rnacentral:lncRNA from 1 species